CAAGUACUCCCUCCAUCCGGAAUUACUUGUCAUCAAAAUGGAUGUGUCUAGAACUAAAAUAAAUCUAGAUACAUCCAUUUCAAUGACAAGUAUUUCCGGACGGAGGGAGUACAAG
rnacentral:pre_miRNA from 1 species